rnacentral:lncRNA from 1 species
UUUUUUUUUUUUUACUUUUUUUGAGGUUUUAAUUUUUAUCUGCAUUUAUAUAUACAUACACUCUCUAAUAAGUCAAGUUGUUGCUCGAGGCUUGUGACAAAACCAGUAGUUCUCUGCUGGCUAUACCAGUGGUUAUAGUCUAGGUCAGGAUGUUCAUUCAUUCAUUCCACACCUGCCCUUUCUUAGAUACUGAAGCUACAACACUGGAUAAGAGAAUCCUCUCCUCUGCAGUUCUCAGUUUCAGGGCAGCAGCAGGGUGGAAUGUGUGUCUGCUCUUGUCCUCCCUUUGGCAAGAAGAAGGUGCUGGUUGUGUUCCUGCUUGGCUCCCCUUACGCUUUUUUCUUCUUCUGUCCCUUUGUUCCUUUCCCCAGCAAACCCUCACUGUGCACUGCUGGGCAUGGAAGGGAGGGCCGUGAACUACCAGCUGGUGACAGGCUCUCCCUUCUCAUAGCCUUGGUCUAGAGGGGAUUCGAUCAUGAUGUAGGGUGAUGGAUGCUAGGCAGGGAAAGUGCAGGGGCUCUGGGAGCUUCGAAGCGGGGCGCCUGACUCCAUCCUUGGUAUAAGGAAGACUUUCUGAGGAUGUGACGGCUGAGCUAAGGGAAAAAUGUAUGACAUUAGGAGAAAGGGCCUUCCAGAGGGAAGAACAGCAUAUGUGAUGGCCCAGAGGCCAGAGUCAGUAGGGCACAUUUCGGAGAUCACACAAGCCCCCCAUGGCUGGAACACAGACUGCCAGAGGAGUCUGGUAAGGAGGCCGGGGCCAGGCUGGGGAGGGUCUUGGUAAGGAAUUUGGAUUUUAAACUGGGGGCACUGGGGAGGCACUGCAUAGGCUGUGGGCCAGGAGAGGUAAGAUCAAGUUUAUUUAGUAAAACCGUGGCUUCGAAUUGAACAACAGGUUAGAUGUAAACAAUCAUGUCUGCAGAAUAACGGGCAACUAUGUAGUUCUGGCAAAGACCAUGGUGACAGCAGAGAUAGAGAAAACUAGAUGAAAUCAGGAGAUUUUGGAUAAGGUCUGAUGAUAAAUCAGAAUGAAGGAGACAAAAGGGCCCAAGAUCACUCCCAGUCUGGGUGACUUCAUGAUGACAUCAUUUGUGGAAAGAGGAAACGUGAGAAGAGCCUCGGGGUAAAGACAGGAACGUGAUAAGUUCCACUUUGAACAGGUUGAGCUGGGAUGCCUGUAAGACACUAGGAAGAGGGGUGCAGUAGGGGUAAUAACACCCCCAAAUGACAUGUAUUUCGCCCUGAGCUGCACGUGAGGCCAUCCAUCAAGUACACAAACGGGAUUAUCUAUCUAAGAGGCACCUGGAUCUAGGGUCUGAUGCUCAGAAAGAGGUGUGGAGAUUGGAAUUGAGCUCAGAUCUAACAUCUGGGAACUAGGCAGGGAGUAUGAGGGGUGGAGACUGGCUGGUGUAACACCCUCCCUGUGGCAGCCCCAUGGUGAGCUGGAAAGUAAAUGACCCCAUGUAAAUUCAGACUGAAAAAAUACUGUCUUUAAAAAGAAAUACCAAGAGUUCCCACUGUGGCACAAUAGGAUUGGCAGCAUCUUGGGAGUACUGGGACACAGGUUUGAUCCCCACCUAGGCACAGUGGAUUAAAGAUCUGGCGUUGCUGCAGCUGCAGCUUAGGUCACACUUGCAGCUCAGAUCUGAUCCCUGGCCCGGGAACUCCAUAUGCUUCGGGGUGGCCAAAAAAGAAAACAAACAAACAAACAAACAAGAAAUACCACACCUCAAAUGGAGUCAUUUGUGCCUUCAGACAGCAAACCAAGACUUAACUGCACUUUCAACCCCUCCUAGAGAUGUCACCUUUGAAACAGUCAGAAAAGUCCCUCUACAGGAGCGAGGUUAUCUAUGUGAUAAAGAUCCCUGCCUUGCCCUUCCCCUCAAAGAAGGUGGCUUAGACUGAAACAAUCCUUCCUUCUCUUUUGCUGAUACCUUCUUGACCCUCCCUCCUCCUGCCUGUAAAAACCUUCCAUUUUGUACAUCUCCUCAGAGCACUCUUCUAUUUAACUAGACGGGCUGAAUAAAGCCAAUUAGAUCUUCACAUUUACUUAGUUGAAUUUUGUUUUCUUAACACUGGGCAGACUAAAUAAAACUCAUGUGUGGCCUGCCUGGAUUUGUCUUUCUGGCCUCCCGGUUUGUGACCCCUGGGAGAGAUGGUAAACAAUGGGAGAGGGAGGGCUGGUCCAGGAGAGAACAUAGAAGGGAGUGAACUUGAGCCCAGAGUUCCAGCCUAACACACAAAACAAGGGGCUUUGAAUAAGCUCUCAAUUGAUGAUUUCUUAGGAUGCAGCAAGAGACUGACUGAGUGUCUGAUUCGGAUGCUGCCUAAUAACUGAGUGAGGCAAAGGCCCACUUUCUAUGCUUUCUCACACAUGGUGAGUAAACUUUAGAAUGAAGGGUUGACUGAGUUGGGAGACCCCCUUGGGGCUCCCCUAGUACUGGGACUCUCCAACACGGUUGUGGAUCAGAAUCUCCUGUGGAACCUGCGAAACGUCCAGAUCCCCAGCAUCCUUAGGACCUCCUGAAUCAGUGUACACGGAGGGCCCGGGCAUCCUGAUCUAACAAGGCCCCAGGUGAUUGGGAUGCCCACACCUAGCAUAGGAGGUGUUCCUCUGGGGCUACCCCCUUGGAUAAGGAAACAGCCCAGAGAGGUGAAGCAAGUUGCUCGCCUGCACACAGCCAGAAAGGGCAGGCUCUGUCAACACUGCCGGUCACUCCAGCCCUUUCCACUAAACUUCUCAUCCCCAGACUCAGCCCCAGCCCAGGUUUGGAGACUAUGGGGCAGUCAUGGCUCAGAAUCAGACCAGUAUUGUUCAUGACCUCACACUGACUCUGCACCCAAUUCCAACAGCUUGGUUCCUUCUUAUCUUAUUCCCCCUCCCCCAAGCUCCUGCCUCCUUCCUCAGGUCUACAGGGUCUGCCUGACCCCAGUGCUGAGGCCCUGCCUCGGUGCCUCCCCAGGCAGGAGGUGUAGACACAGGAGAGACCCAGUGCCUCUGGGUCUGUGCGAGGACACAGUCCUGUCACCUCCUGAGUCUGGAGAGAAGGGCCUGUCAGACGGCAGGAGGCCAGUGGGCAUACGGCACAAAUACACCUUUUAGAAGGGGAGGCUAUGUUUGCCACUGGGUAUACGGAGUAUAGGAUGGGCCAUGGCUUGCGGUCAGCUCCCUGGCGGGAUUCCAGCAGAACGUCCAUCCCCACACUCCCCGAAACUAAGAAUAAGCACAAGCCGGGCAGCGUGACCCCGUGACUAGGCUGAGUCCUCAAGGAGCAUCACGUGAGCAGCUGAAGGGAAACAGCACAAGGAGGCCCCUGCCUGGGUGGUGGUAGUAGGUUAUGCCGUUACAAAGGAGAAAUAUAUAAACACUUAGAAAUACAGACCUAGGGAGAAAAUGCCCUAAAUGUGAGUGUGCAUAAAGCUAAAAGAUUAAUGUGAUGAAAUUAACACUUAGGAAUAUACUCUGUGCCUUUAUAUACUUAAUUUAUCUUCAGCCAAGCCUCUUUGGAUACUGCAUUUACAGAAUGAUUUUGGUUUCCAAGGACUAACUGGAAUUAACUGUAUGCCAAUUCCCAUGCCAGCUAUUUCUGUUGACCUUGCCCUGCAAUAUAAAAUGUGGUUAAGGGCUGAAGUCAUUAGACCUGGAUUUGCAUCAUGGCACGGCUGUUGAAUGACUUCAGUGAGUCACGCGACAUCCCAGAGCCUCAGUUUUCCUCAUCUCUAAAAUGAAGAUGGUAACACAGCCCUGAGUGGAUUUUUGUGACAUACAGGGAAAUGGAUAUCUUAUAUGUUCUGGCUGAUUUCUGCAACUUAAAGAUUUCUGUUGUUAUUUUUGUCGGUUGUGUAAGCUUUUUAAGCAGCUUUGGUCUCUAGGGGUGGAAGCUUGCAUUGUCUUUGGGCCAAACGUUUCCUUUAUUUGGGGAAGAUCCCUUGUGUCAGGUCCCUGGGGAGCCAAGCAGAGUGUGGACAAGGUGAUCUCACAGGGGGACUGCUACUGAAAAGGUCACUGUGCCGCUCCUCUGAGUGGCUUCAAAAGCAGUGGACGUGAGAAUCAGGUGAGCAAAGCUGGAGGAAAAGGACAGGGUGGAUGAGGCAUGGUGACUGUUACACUUUAGGAACUUGAAGGAAGAACCAAGGGAUGCUUUAAAGAGGUGAGAGGAUGGGUUCAGCAAUCGAGUCAGAGUAAGUCUGAGCUGAUGCAAUUUGCACAGAAAUUUAUUAUAGAAUUUAAUGAUUGCUGCGUUGUCAUAACAACAGGAAUUUACUCAAGAGGUACAAUGGAAGUUGCUUGAUCCCACUGUGGCAAUGAUGCAACCCUACAUGCUUGCAGAGCUCUUCUUUCUCAGAAAAUGGUUAAAUCCAUCUAGACUUCAUCCUAAGUUUUCUGACUUCACCACAUCACUGGGUUUGGUGCUGGCGAUACAGCAGUCAUAGGCUCUCCUCCCUGGCAGAGCUUAUUCUUAACCAAAGAGAGACAACGGUACGGACGUCAACACACUCUGAGGGGAGGUGCUCUGCGCGAGAUGGAUGUGUGUGUGAGAGAUGCUGUAACCAAGGAGCCUGGACCAGAUGGAGGCAGGUGAGAGUGUAGAGUUUCCGAAGAACCCAAGGGAGGAGGCCAGGAAGGCCCGGUGGCUGGACCACAGGACAGGAGAGGAGAGGGUAGUGGAUGAGGCAGGAUAGAAAGGCUGGGCCUGAUUCUGUACAAAUCAGACUUUAGUCUAACAGAAUGAGAAGCUGCAGUGGAAGUUUAAAGAGGAGGGAGAGUCAUGAUCAUGUCUGCACUACAAGGUUAGCCCUCUAGGGAAUGGACUGUGAAGAUAUGAGUGGAUGCAAAGGUACCGGUGAGGAGGCGACUGAGAUGAUGGGCGUAGGGCUGGGUGGCAGCAGUGGGAGGAAAGCGUGUGGCUCCAGAGAUACACAAGGAGGGGCUCAAAGGAGCAGUACCUGGGCCCUCCUGGCUGGCCGGCCCCGCCUCUCACACAAGUCAGUCUUUGACAGUAACAGCACCUCGAGCAGAGCCAGGGGCCUCCACCACCUGCCAGGCAUUGAGGCUAUUGAUGAAACCUCGGGCUUCUCACUGUAACACCACGCUCUCCAGCUUGAUUUCUACCCCAGGUUGCCAAUCACUUGGCAUGGCUCUACCUGUGGUCUUGUUCCACUUUCUCUCUGGGUAUCAUUUUAGGUCUAGCUUUUGAAGUAGUUAAGGAAGAAGACUGUUCCAACCCCCAGGGAAAUGACUACAUAGAAAAAUGAAUUUACUGGCAAACUUCUAAGCUCCUGAAAGGGAUGAGAGACAGCUGAGAUCAAAAUAGGAAGAAAUAUUUUCUGACCCCCUCGUGGUUGGAAAAAUCAUGACCUGAAGAACACUGAGUUUUUCCUUUGGUUAGUUUUGUGUUGCUUUUAAAUACGUUUGGCUUUAUUUUCAAGGACAAAUAAUAUCAUAGGUAACAAGAAUGACUUCUUAGAACUAAAGUCGAGUUAAGAUGUGAGAUUGAAUAAACAUCUAAGCAAGCCUUUGCCUCAUGCUAUGUUUACUUGCCACUUGGCAAUAUCCUUUUAAAAAAUUAUACAUAUAAACUCCGUUCCCUAUCUCCAAACAUAAGAAACUAAUACAAUGAGCUGAAACAGUUCACAUUAGGAAGAUGCCCAGACCCAGCUGCCUGGCAGACCAUCACUGCUGCAAUUUUCAAAGUGCACACACUGAGUCCCCAAACUCAGCAACACUAAUGAAAGUCAUGUGCUGUCAGAGCAGAACAAUUUCUUUGCAGCAGUGUUCUCCCAGGAUGUUCAUUCCAGGAGAUCAGUGUCAAGAUGACAAGAAAGCCCAACAUACCUCAAGAGACACAACAUAUAACAAGCAAAAAAUUUUAAAUCCGUGCUCAGAAGCUGGAUGUUAAAGGGUCUGAUGAGGACCCAACAAUGAAGGACAUGAAACAAAUUCAUUAAAGCAUUUUGAAUAAAAAUAAGAAGACCGUGACAUGAUGCUUAAUUCACAGGAAAACACAAUCUUAAAGGGUAAAAGUGGUAGAUGAUGAUCUGAUUUUUUUGGACAUCCGGAGGCAGAGGCAACCACGAGCGACGGCCCUGGAGAGAACAAGUGCAUGAGAGGGGACUCUGACCCCACACACUAAUGACAGCACAACGGAUGGGCUUUUUGUCUUUGCUGACUUUGCUCUCUGGGUGAGAGAUUUCAAAGAAAGCAACGUUGAAAAGUGAUGGUUAGAUCUUUCAAGCCCUCAAAAUUAAGCUGGCCAGGGAGGCAGUGUUCCUGGGCCUGCUGAGAAAAAGGGAGCAUGGAAGUUAAGGAAGGUGGUUAUUCAUUCUGCGAAGUCCCCAAAAUACACCUUCCAGUCGUUUAUGGAAAAGUCCAGGAGACUCGGAGGAGCAGCAGUUUCAAAACCUAUUUUAAAUCGACCAGAGAGCAGAAAGUACUUAAACACAUGGAGAACAAUUUAGAACACCACAUACACAGCAACAACUCUCCGAGGGCUUUCUAUCUAGAGAAGCAAAGUUGGAGAAAACAGGAUGGAAGACAAGGAGUUUAUCUCCUUUUAAUUCACCACAGUGUGCUCCUGGAAGUUGAAGGAACCUUGAGCUUGUGCCCCAGAGAGAGGUCACUGAAGAAGGCAGGUACCCAGCUCAGAGGGUUUCCAACAUCAGUCCAUGCACUUGGGCAGCUUUAAGGCGUUUUUGUCUUUUGUUUCAUUGUGACUUUAAAAUAAUUUUUGUUACAUAAUUAAUGCAUGUAUUGUAGAAAAAGUC